AACGCUGGCGGCAGGCCUAACACAUGCAAGUCGAGCGGCAGCGGGAAAGUAGCUUGCUACUUUUGCCGGCGAGCGGCGGACGGGUGAGUAAUGCCUGGGAAAUUGCCCAGUCGAGGGGGAUAACAGUUGGAAACGACUGCUAAUACCGCAUACGCCCUACGGGGGAAAGCAGGGGACCUUCGGGCCUUGCGCGAUUGGAUAUGCCCAGGUGGGAUUAGCUUGUUGGUAGGGUAAAGGCCUACCAAGGCGACGAUCUGUAGCGGGUCUGAGAGGAUGAUCCGCCACACUGGGACUGAGACACGGCCCAGACUCCUACGGGAGGCAGCAGUGGGGAAUUUUGGACAAUGGGCGAAAGCCUGAUCCAGCCAUGCCGCGUGAGUGAAGAAGGCCUUCGGGUUGUAAAGCUCUUUCGGCUGGGAAGAAAUCGCACAGGCUAAUACUCUGUGUGGAUGACGGUACCAGCACAAGAAGCACCGGCUAACUACGUG
rnacentral:rRNA from 1 species